GAUGACACUCUGAUCUUUUGAGCUUAAUCAUUUUUGAAUCUUUUCGGAAUCUUUUUGAAUCUCUCUGAAUCAGUCAAAUUUCGACCAAAGAAUUUGAGAUAACUUUUGCUUCAGUGUUUUGAGCGUGAUCUGUCAAAAACUAUCCCGCCAAAACAAUCGCCGCGUUUGUUUUUUUUUCUCGUGAAAAAAAGUGGUCAGCAACGGUGUUCGUGUUAUUCGGCGAUUUUGGGAAAACCUGGGAAACCUGGGAUCCGGAAAGCUUGCUCAAAAGCAGAAUCUGGUGGGAGAGUGCUAGGAAUCGCUGUACAGGAGGUAUACAAUCCCUUCGGCACCGGUCGUUCAUUGCUUUCAGGAAAGCCGUCAGCAAAUAAGGUGUUGCUUGUAAGCAUCUGUAGAUGACCACUGUCAACAACAGUCGGAUGGAACGGUUGGAACUGCCCAAAGCCCUGUUCUGAUGAAAUUCUAAUCCAAUCCAUAAUCUCCAGAAAAUAUCCCUAGUUAUGUGUCGUCAAAUUUUUCGUCGGCUGCAACAGAAUCAGUGGGAGCAGGUAACGAUUCAGGAUCCGGUGUUCCAGGAAAUCAGGGGCAUAUCACCAGCGAUUUUGACUUUUCCCAACCGUGUGCAACCAAGCUGCACAAUAUGAUCAAUAAAGAUCAAUAAGCUAAAAACUUCAAUCAGGAUUCUGGUUAACAAAACCAAACAACUGCCCAAGUAAGUGCUAUUAAAUUUUUAUUCCUAUCAGUUUUAACCCUUUAUAAGGCAGUGGCAACUAUAUUGCUACCUACUGUUUUUAUUUUUUUCUGUUUUACAUAUAACAAUUUAUUUCGAACUUCUUUUUUGGUUUACGCAAAAUUGGGAUUAUUAACAACGCCUGGUAUUUUUUUUGGUACUAAACAAAGCUUAAACAACAACUUGGGAGCCAUUUGUAGUUUUUAAAAGGGGCCAAAUUUGACCGCGUGAAGAAAGUUAGCUCAAACUUAUUGUAAAACUACAGAUUUGGUAAAUAUUUUAAGAAAUAAUCAAAUUAUGGGUUGAUAUGAGCUGAACUACACAGUUUAUAUUAUGGGUUAAGCCCUAAUCCACUCUAAAAUCUCUUUUCCGGCUUUUUGUGGAAGUCAAAAGAAGAAAAGUACCCUAAACUGGCAGUGGCAAGAUUAUUGCCACCAGCGCUGGUGGCCUAAACGGGCAGUGGCAACUAUAUUGCCACCUC